rnacentral:rRNA from 1 species
GAUGAACGCUGGCGGCGUGCUUAACACAUGCAAGUCGAACGGAAAGGCCCAAGCUUGCUUGGGUACUCGAGUGGCGAACGGGUGAGUAACACGUGGGUGAUCUGCCCUGCACUUCGGGAUAAGCCUGGGAAACUGGGUCUAAUACCGGAUAGGACCACUUCUUGGAUGUUGUGGUGGAAAGUUUUUUCGGUGUGGGAUGAGCUCGCGGCCUAUCAGCUUGUUGGUGGGGUAAUGGCCUACCAAGGCGUCGACGGGUAGCCGGCCUGAGAGGGUGUACGGCCACAUUGGGACUGAGAUACGGCCCAGACUCCUACGGGAGGCAGCAGUGGGGAAUAUUGCCCAAUGGGCGCAAGCCUGAUGCAGCGACGCCGCGUGGGGGAUGACGGCCUUCGGGUUGGAAACUCCUUUCGCUAGGGACGAAGCGUUUUGUGACGGUACCUGGAGAAGAAGCACCGGCUAACUACGUG